GAAAUGCGAUAAGUAGUGUGAAUUGCAGAAUUCAGUGAAUCAUCGAAUCUUUGAACGCACAUUGCGCCCCUUGGUAUUCCAUGGGGCAUGCCUGUUCGAGCGUCAUUUGUACCUUCAAGCUCUGCUUGGUGUUGGGUGUUUGUCUUUUCUCUUGACUAGACUCGCCUUAAAAUAAUUGGCAGCCAUUGUUUUGGUAAUGAAGCGCAGCACAUUUUGCGUCUUACUCCCUAAACAAUAGCAUCCACAAAGCCUCUUCUCACUUUUGACCUCGGAUCAGGUAGGGAUACCCGCUGAACUUAA
rnacentral:misc_RNA from 1 species